CAAUAGCGUAUAUUAAAGUUGUUGCAGUUAAAAAGCUCGUAGUUGGAUUUCUGGACGGAGCAGCCAGUCCGCCGCUGUGCGGUGUGUAUUCGUGCUUGACUCGGUUCAUCCUUGUGGGGAAGCGCAUUUCGGCAUUCAGUUGUCGAGGCGGGGAACCACAUCAUUUACUGUGAAAAAAUUAGAGUGUUUAAAGCAGGCAUUUUGCUGUGAAUACAUUAGCAUGGAAUAAUAACAUAGGACUUUGAUUCUAUUUUGUUGGUUGGAGAUCAAGGUAAUGAUUAAUAGGGAUAGUUGGGGGUAUUCAUAUUUAAUUGUCAGAGGUGAAAUUCUUGGAUUUAUGAAAGAUGAACUCAUGCGAAAGCAUUUACCAAGGAUGUUUNCAUUAA
rnacentral:rRNA from 1 species